AGCAGCCGCGGUAAUUCCAGCUCCAAUAGCGUAUAUUAAAGUUGUUGCAGUUAAAAAGCUCGUAGUUGAAUUUCGGGAUCGACGGGUCGGUCGCGCCUCUGGUGUGUACUGGCCCUGUCGGUUUCUCCCUUCUGACGAACCACGAUGUCAUUAAUUUGGUGUCGUGGGAAAUCAGGACUGUUACUUUGAAAAAAUUAGAGUGUUUAAAGCAGGCAUUCGCUUGAAUACAUUAGCAUGGAAUAAUGAAAUAGGACGUUUGAUCUUAUUUUGUUGGUUUCUAAGAUCGACGUAAUGAUUAAUAGGGAUAGUUGGGGGCAUUAGUAUUCAAUUGUCAGAGGUGAAAUUCUUGGAUUUAUUGAAGACUAACUACUGCGAAAGCAUUUGCCAAGGAUGUUUUCAUUAAUCAAGAACGAGAGUUAGGGGAUCGAAGACGAUCAGAUACCGUCGUAGUCUUAACCAAUAAACUAUG
rnacentral:rRNA from 1 species